AACGAACGCUGGCGGCAGGCUUAACACAUGCAAGUCGAACGCGUGUAGCAAUACACGAGUGGCGCACGGGUGAGUAACGCGUGGAUAUCUGCCUUUUGGUCUGGAAUAACCCCGGGAAACUGGGGCUAAUACCGGAUGGUUCCUUCGGGAUAAAGAUUUAUCGCCAAAAGAUGAGUCCGCGUACGAUUAGCUAGUCGGUGAGGUAAUGGCUCACCAAGGCGACGAUCGUUAGCUGGUCUGAGAGGACGAUCAGCCACACUGGGACUGAGACACGGCCCAGACUCCUACGGGAGGCAGCAGUGGGGAAUAUUGGACAAUGGGGGCAACCCUGAUCCAGCCAUGCCGCGUGAGUGAUGAAGGCCUUCGGGUUGUAAAGCUCUUUUGGCGGGGACGAUGAUGACGGUACCCGCAGAAUAAGCCCCGGCUAACUUCGUGCCAGCCGCCGCCGUAACAC
rnacentral:rRNA from 1 species